rfam:Camelus ferus unplaced genomic scaffold scaffold486, whole genome shotgun sequence.
GAGGGUAUAGCUCAGUGGUAGAGCACAUGCUUAGCAUGUGCGAGGUCCUGAGUUCAAUCCCGAGUACCUCCA